GUGGGGUGCUCGAGUGGCGAACGGGUGAGUAACACGUGAGUAACCUGCCCUUGACUUUGGGAUAACUUCAGGAAACUGGGGCUAAUACCGGAUAGGAGCUCCUGCUGCAUGGUGGGGGUUGGAAAGUUUCGGCGGUUGGGGAUGGACUCGCGGCUUAUCAGCUUGUUGGUGGGGUAGUGGCUUACCAAGGCUUUGACGGGUAGCCGGCCUGAGAGGGUGACCGGCCACAUUGGGACUGAGAUACGGCCCAGACUCCUACGGGAGGCAGCAGUGAGGAAUUUUCCGCAAUGGGCGAAAGCCUGACGGAGCAACGCCGCGUGAGUGAUGAAGGUCUUCGGAUCGUAAAACUCUGUUAUUAGGGAAGAACAAAUGUGUAAGUAACUAUGCACGUCUUGACGGUACCUAAUCAGAAAGCCACGGCUAACUACGUGCCAGCAGCCGCGGUGAUACGUAGGGUGCGAGCGUUGUCCGGAUUUAUUGGGCGUAAAGGGCUCGUAGGUGGUUGAUCGCGUCGGAAGUGUAAUCUUGGGGCUUAACCCUGAGCGUGCUUUCGAUACGGGUUGACUUGAGGAAGGUAGGGGAGAAUGGAAUUCCUGGUGGAGCGGUGGAAUGCGCAGAUAUCAGGAGGAACACCAGUGGCGAAGGCGGUUCUCUGGGCCUUUCCUGACGCUGAGGAGCGAAAGCGUGGGGAGCGAACAGGCUUAGAUACCCUGGUAGUCCACGCUGUAAACGAUGAGUGCUAGGUGUUCGGGGUUUCGAUACCCUGGGUGCCGAAGUUAACGCAUUAAGCACUCCGCCUGGGGAGUACGGUCGCAAGACUGAAACUCAAAGGAAUUGACGGGGGCCCGCACAAGCGGUGGAGCAUGUGGUUUAAUUUGAUGCAACGCGAAGAACCUUACCAGGGUUUGACAUGACAUGAAUUUUUCUGAGAAGAAAAAGUGCCUUUUAGGAGCAUGUACACAGGUGGUGCAUGGCUGUCGUCAGCUCGUGUCGUGAGAUGUUGGGUUAAUUCCCGCAACGAGCGCAACCCUUGUUCACUGUUGCCAGCACGUUAUGGUGGGGACUCAGUGGAGACCGCCGGGGUCAACUCGGAGGAAGGUGGGGAUGACGUCAAGUCAUCAUGCCCCUUAUGUCCAGGGCUUCACGCAUGCUACAAUGGCUGGUACAGAGAGUGGCGAGCCUGUGAGGGUGAGCGAAUCUCGGAAAGCCGGUCUCAGUUCGGAUUGGGGUCUGCAACUCGACCUCAUGAAGUCGGAGUCGCUAGUAAUCGCAGAUCAGCAACGCUGCGGUGAAUACGUUCCCGGGGCUUGUACACACCGCCCGUCAAGUCAUGAAAGUUGGUAACACCCGAAGCCGGUGGCCUAACCGUUGUGGGGGAGCCGUCGAAGGUGGGACUGGUGAUUAGGACUAAGUCGAAACAAGGUAGCCGUACCGGAAGGUGCGGCUGGAUCACCU
rnacentral:rRNA from 1 species